GUACUUACCUGGACGGGGUCUACAGCUGAUCAAGAAGGGUCAUGGCCUAGAUCAAUGGCCAACAUUGCACUUGGUUGGUGCGUUGGUCUACCAUCUCCCCAAGUGGGAGAGUGGACGUCGUAAUUUGUGGUAGAGGGGGUACGCGUCCGCGCGGCCCCUGC